rnacentral:sRNA from 1 species
UAUUCUGCCCCAUGGGGAAGGAUGAGAAGCUUCGACUAAGGUUCGACUCGAGCGAAGCGAGAGAACGUUGCCGCA